UACGUAGGGUGCAAGCGUUGUCCGGAAUUAUUGGGCGUAAAGAGCUCGUAGGCGGUUUGUCGCGUCUGCUGUGAAAACCCGAGGCUCAACCUCGGGCCUGCAGUGGGUACGGGCAGACUAGAGUGCGGUAGGGGAGAUUGGAAUUCCUGGUGUAGCGGUGAAAUGCGCAGAUAUCAGGAAGAACACCCGUGGCGAAAGCGGCUCUCUGGAACGGUACUGACGCUGAGACGCGAAAGCGUGGGAGCGAACAGG
rnacentral:rRNA from 1 species